rnacentral:rRNA from 1 species
UACGUAGGGGGCAAGCGUUGUCCGGAAUCAUUGGGCGUAAAGCGCGUGUAGGCGGUUCGGUAAGUCUGCUGUGAAAGUCCAGGGCUCAACCCUCGGAUGCCGGUGGAUACUGUCGGGCUUGAGUACGGAAGAGGCGAGUGGAAUUCCUGGUGUAGCGGUGAAAUGCGCAGAUAUCAGGAGGAACACCAAUUGCGAAGGCAGCUCGCUGGGACGUUACUGCCGCUGAGACGCGAAAGCGUGGGGAGCGAACAGG